ACGGGAGGCAGCAGUGGGGAAUAUUGCACAAUGGGGGAAACCCUGAUGCAGCGACGCCGCGUGAGUGAAGAAGUAUUUCGGUAUGUAAAGCUCUAUCAGCAAGGAAGAAAAUGACGGUACUUGACUAAGAAGCCCCGGCUAACUACGUGCCAGCAGCCGCGGUAAUACGUAGGGGGCAAGCGUUAUCCGGAUUUACUGGGUGUAAAGGGAGCGUAGACGGUAAGGCAAGUCUGAAGUGAAAUGCAGGGGCUCAACCCCUGAACUGCUUUGGAAACUGUCAAACUAGAGUGCAGGAGAGGUAAGUGGAAUUCCUAGUGUAGCGGUGAAAUGCGUAGAUAUUAGGAGGAACACCGGUGGCGAAAGCGGCUCUCUGGUCUGUAACUGACGCUGAGGCUCGAAAGCGUGGGGAGCAAACAGGAUUAGAUACCCUGGUA
rnacentral:rRNA from 1 species